rnacentral:rRNA from 1 species
UACAGAGGGUGCAAGCGUUAAUCGGAAUUACUGGGCGUAAAGCGUGCGUAGACGGUUAUUUAAGUCAGGUGUGAAAGCCCUGGGCUUAACCUAGGAAUUGCGCUUGAGACUGGAUAGCUUGGAGUGCGGCAGAGGGAGGUGGAAUUCCACGUGUAGCAGUGAAAUGCGUAGAGAUGUGGAGGAACACCGAUGGCGAAGGCAGCCUCCUGGGCCAGCACUGACGCUCAUGCACGAAAGCGUGGGGAGCAAACAGG